rnacentral:tRNA from 1 species
GCCUAGGUAGCUCAGAGGUAGAGCGGUAGACUGAAGAUCUACUUGUCAGCGGUUCGAGUCCGUUCUUAGGCG